rnacentral:lncRNA from 1 species
GUAAAAUUCUCCAUUUUUUAAAUUCUUCGUUGUAAACUGUUGCUAAACACUUCUGAAUUUUAAAUUGCUACAGAGAAGGUCCAUAAACCGUUCUCGUUCAAUUUAGUCACUUUUAUUACAUUCCUCUUUGCCUCCCCCAAUCACUACUUCGGCUCCCAGUUUCAGCGUGGCCGCAUUUCGGAAACGCUGAAGGUAGAAAACUCUGGAAUGGAGAGAUUGGUGACCGGAGCAGGAUCCAGGGCCUUUAAAGUUUAACCUGAGUUCGAUCGAAUGCAACUACCGGAGUAACGUUGGCCGGCCGCUCAAUUCCCACCAUGGCUUCAGAUGUCUUGCACUCGGUUCUUUGCUGAGUUCCGACCAAAUGGACUGGGUUUUGCAGAGUUCUUUUGUGAGCGGUUAUUUUAAUGUUCUGGACAUUUAUUUUCCUUUGAGUCCAAUUGUUUUUGAAAUGUUUCUCAGAUUUACUAUUAAAAGUAAAUUUUUUUAAAGUCCAUGCUUGCUAAAAAAAAAUAAAUGCUUUGGUUAGGUUUGCAUCCAUGCUGUGAAUGGCCUCCAAGCUGAGCCCUGGAGGAGAUCAAGCCCUGGCACGAGCUUGAUUCCUACCUAUCCUCUAUGAUUCUUUAUAUUUGCAAAUAUGAUGAUAUCGGUGUGGAUUUCCUGGGAGAUAGCUAACCCCCACUGUCCUGCCUUUCUUGCAGCUCCCCUGCAGCAUUAGGAGGGCGCACUGACCUCGGCGCCCAUGCGACAGAGGUGAGCUGCUGGACGGAUAUUGACCAAUUCAACAAUGUUCGGGCUGCUGUAAGGGUUCGAGAGAGAACCCAGCAUUUUAACCUUAAUAUUCCCCAUCACUUAAGAAUGCCCAAACCAAAGGGAAAAAUAAGUAAUUGUUCCUUUUCAGGCCACAAGUUAUACCUUUUUAUAAUAAACAUUGGUUUUCCAAUCAAACGAGGGAAUGGAUAAAGAAAUGCUUUCCAUAUAAGUUAUUUUUAAAAUAAAACAAAACUAUUAAACCUGAACAGUCGAUUAAGACAGAAAACCAGGUUGUCUGGCCGCCCCAAUUUGCCUUUUUCCGAGGCAAAGACUUUGGCGCUGGGGACAAACAACCACCGACAGAGGCGGGUUUUCAGAGCCAGCCCCCAUGGGCUCCAGGCCCCGGGCACUGAGAUUCCUCUAAUCCGGUCUGAAAUGUCAGCAGAAUCCGGGGUGCAGAGGAAAGAGGCACACCCCAAACUAAGGAGGAACCCAAGAGCUGUAUAAAACCCAAUAGUGCCCACAUAAACAGAUAAUUCUCUUAAGAAUUUCUUUUUUCUUCUUGUUUUU